rnacentral:rRNA from 1 species
ACGAAGCUGACGCUUCACGCCGCGUGAGUGAAGAAGGCCUUCGGGUUGUAAAGCUCUGCCGGAAGGGACAAAAACCAUUAAGGUUAACAGCCUUAGUGCUUGAUGGUACCUUUAAAGGAAGCACCGGCUAACUUCGUGCCAGCAGCCGCGGUAAUACGAAGGGUGCAAGCGUUGCUCGGAAUUAUUGGGCGUAAAGGGUAGGUAGGUGGUUACGUAUGUCUGAGGUGAAAUCCCCGAGCUUAACUUGGGAAGUGCCUUGGAAACGGCGUAACUAGAGUACUGGAGAGGUUCGUAGAAUUCCUGGUGUAGCGGUGAAAUGCGUAGAGAUCAGGAGGAAUACCAGAGGCGAAAGCGACUACCUAGGCCAUUAUUGACGCUGAGGCACGAAAGCGUGGGGAGCAAACAGGAUUAGAUACCCUGGUAGUCCACGCAGUAAACGAUGAGUGCUAGUUGUUGGGGUCUUGGACUUCAGUGGCGAAGCUAACGCGUUAAGCACUCCGNCUGGGGAGUACGGUCGCAAGACUAAAACUCAAAGGAAUUGACGGGGACCCGCACAAGCAGUGGAGCAUGUGGGUUUAAUUCGAAGCAACGCGCAGA